rnacentral:rRNA from 1 species
GCCAGACUCCUACGGGAGGCAGCAGUGGGGGAUAUUGCACAAUGGGGGAAACCCUGAUGCAGCGACGCCGCGUGAGUGAAGAAGUAUUUCGGUAUGUAAAGCUCUAUCAGCAGGGAAGAAAAAAGACGGUACCUGACUAAGAAGCCCCGGCUAACUACGUGCCAGCAGCCGCGGUAAUACGUAGGGGGCGAGCGUUAUCCGGAUUUACUGGGUGUAAAGGGAGCGUAGACGGCAAUACAAGUCGGAAGUGAAAUACCCGGGCUCAACCUGGGAACUGCUUUGGAAACUGUAUGGCUGGAGUGCUGGAGAGGUAAGCGGAAUUCCUAGUGUAGCGGUGAAAUGCGUAGAUAUUAGGAGGAACACCAGUGGCGAAGGCGGCUUACUGGACAGUAACUGACGUUGAGGCUCGAAAGCGUGGGGAGCAAACAGGAUUAGAUACCCCCGUAA